rnacentral:rRNA from 1 species
UACGUAGGGUGCAAGCGUUGUCCGGAAUCAUUGGGCGUAAAGCGCGCGUAGGCGGCCCCGUAAGUCCGCUGUGAAAGUCAAAGGCUCAACCUUUGAAAGCCGGUGGAUACUGUGGGGCUAGAGUCCGGAAGAGGCGAGUGGAAUUCCUGGUGUAGCGGUGGAAUGCGCAGAUAUCAGGAGGAACACCAAUAGCGAAGGCAGCUCGCUGGGACGUUACUGACACUGAGGCGCGAAAGCGUGGGGAGCGAACAGG